rnacentral:rRNA from 1 species
UACAGAGGUCUCAAGCGUUGUUCGGAUUCAUUGGGCGUAAAGGGUGCGUAGGUGGCGCUGUAAGUCAGGUGUGAAAUUUCGGAGCUUAACUCCGAAACUGCAUUUGAUACUGCGGUGCUUGAGGACUGGAGAGGAGAUUGGAAUUCACGGUGUAGCAGUGAAAUGCGUAGAUAUCGUGAGGAAGACCAGUGGCGAAGGCGGAUCUCUGGACAGUUCUGACACUGAGGCACGAAGGCUAGGGGAGCAAACGGG